rnacentral:lncRNA from 1 species
AAAGGUUGCUACAGUUGUGAGUUUUGGAGAGAAGGUGGACUGAUCGAAUCAAGUGAUAGUGAGUCCAGAGGCUUACUCUACGAUCCACCAAGAAUACUCAAAAGUCAGAUCAAGCAAGAAGUAGAAGUGUGAGUUCUACUAUGUAGAAGUGAGAGCUAUACUACAUGAAGAGUGUUCUGAACUGCCGAGAGAAAAAAGAGCAUCAUGCCAUCUGGAUGUCCAUCAUGGGAAGACUCUAAGUACAACAGAGAAGAGCAUAUGGUCAACUUAGCAAGUCCAUCAUGGGAAGGCAUCG